UGACCGCUGGCGGCGUGCCUACUACAUGCACGUCGAGCGAACAGACGAGGAGCUUGCUCCUCUGACGUUAGCGGCGGACGGGUGAGUAACACGUGGAUAACCUACCUAUAAGACUGGGAUAACUUCGGGAAACCGGAGCUAAUACCGGAUAAUAUAUUGAACCGCAUGGUUCAAUAGUGAAAGACGGUUUUGCUGUCACUUAUAGAUGGAUCCGCGCCGCAUUAGCUAGUUGGUAAGGUAACGGCUUACCAAGGCAACGAUGCGUAGCCGACCUGAGAGGGUGAUCGGCCACACUGGAACUGAGACACGGUCCAGACUCCUACGGGAGGCAGCAGUAGGGAAUCUUCCGCAAUGGGCGAAAGCCUGACGGGGCAACGCCGCGUGAGUGAUGAAGGUCUUCGGAUCGUAAAACUCUGUUAUUAGGGAAGAACAAAUGUGUAAGUAACUAUGCACGUCUUGACGGUACCUAAUCAGAAAGCCACGGCUAACUACGUG
rnacentral:rRNA from 1 species